AAGGUGGGGACGACGUCAAGUCAUCAUGGCCCUUACGACCAGGGCUACACACGUGCUACAAUGGAGCGUACAAAGGGUUGCAACCCCGCGAGGGUGAGCUAAUCCCAUAAAACGUUUCGUAGUCCGGAUCGCAGUCUGCAACUCGACUGCGUGAAGUCGGAAUCGCUAGUAAUCGUAGAUCAGAAUGCUACGGUGAAUACGUUCCCGGGCCUUGUACACACCGCCCG
rnacentral:rRNA from 1 species